CAGCAGCCGCGGGAAUACAGAGGGUGCGAGCGUUAAUCGGAUUUACUGGGCGUAAAGCGUGCGUAGGCGGCUUUUUAAGUCGGAUGUGAAAUCCAUGAGCUUAACUUAGGAAUUGCAUUCGAUACUGGGAAGCUAGAGUAUGGGAGAGGAUGGUAGAAUUCCAGGUGUAGCGGUGAAAUGCGUAGAGAUCUGGAGGAAUACCGAUGGCGAAGGCAGCCAUCUGGCCUAAUACUGACGCUGAGGUACGAAAGCAUGUGGAGCAAACAGGAUAAGAGACCCCUGUAGUCCCUGUCUCUUAUAC
rnacentral:rRNA from 1 species